rnacentral:tRNA from 1 species
ACUUUUAAUGGACAACAGUGAUCCAA